UUGGGUAAAAUGGUGGGUCAAACGUCCAUUUUACGGCCGUAUUGUUGGGUCUUUAGUCGAUUGUCGGGUCCCAAAGUCGAUUAUCGGGCACUUGGACCCGACAGUUGAAGACCCACUUAAAAAAAGGCUGCUUAACAUACUCAUGACUAUUUUUAAAUUCAAAUUUGCAUGUGUAAUUUUACUCGAAUUGUCGGGCCUAUAUCUCCCAUUAGCACACAUUAGGUCAAACUCCACACAGCAGUUACUUCCCUUGGGCAUUCGCCAAUCAUUAAUGUCUUUUUCUAGAAUAAGGGAGGCCACUGCGUAUGAGAUUGACCAACCUCGGCGCAGUGAUUUACCGGGAACCAGCAUAGCAACGAACGACAACUCGGCGCCCGACAACUCUGUAAUAUAAAUUGCCAAUUUUCGCGGUUAAACUUAAAAAGGAAAAGAAAGCCAAUGAGUCCAUGUCAACUGCUGACAGUGAAGAGCCAGGCAGUCUGACCCAUGAUAGGAGGGAGCCAAGUGAAGAGCCAGCCAGUCUGACCCAUGAUAGGAGGGAGCCAAGUGAAGAGCCAGCCAGUCUGACCCAUGAUUCUUGACAUGACUCAUGGUGAACUAAAAUUGCUUGCAAAGCAUCUGGGACAUGAUGUGAAGACCCACAAGGAAUAUUAUCAGUUGUCUUCCAGUACCAUGGAACUCUCAAAGGUUGCCCUGAUGUUGUAUGCUGUUGAAAAUGGUAAAGUCAAUGAGUGGAAGGGAAGGCAGAUGAAGGACAUAGUAGUAGAAGAUUUACCUCUUCCAAUUGAAGACGAAGAUGGCCAUCAAGAAGGUAAAAUAGUUAUUUAUACCCAUGAUAGAUCAUUGGCCACUGUUCAUUUGUAUUAUGAAAGUGGUCCAUAACAGAGUCAUUGUUAUGGUAGCCC